CCAAACUGUUGCCUCGGCGGGAUCUCUGCCCCGGGUGCGUCGCAGCCCCCCGGACCAAGGCGCCCGCCGGAGGACCAACCAAAACUCUUAUUGUAUACCCCCUCGCGGGUUUUUUUAUAAUCUGAGCCUUCUCGGCGCCUCUCGUAGGCGUUUCGAAAAUGAAUCAAAACUUUCAACAACGGAUCUCUUGGUUCUGGCAUCGAUGAAGAACGCAGCGAAAUGCGAUAAGUAAUGUGAAUUGCAGAAUUCAGUGAAUCAUCGAAUCUUUGAACGCACAUUGCGCCCGCCAGUAUUCUGGCGGGCAUGCCUGUCCGAGCGUCAUUUCAACCCUCGAACCCCUCCGGGGGGUCGGCGUUGGGGAUCGGCCCUCCCUUAGCGGGUGGCCGUCUCCGAAAUACAGUGGCGGUCUCGCCGCAGCCUCUCCUGCGCAGUAGUUUGCACACUCGCAUCGGGAGCGCGGCGCGUCCACAGCCGUUAAACACCCAACUUCUGAAAUGUUGACCUCGGAU
rnacentral:rRNA from 1 species